UUUCUUCCUGCUCGGUGUGCGCCCAGUGCAAGGCUCCUAGACACCUGCCCAGAGGUAAGCUACAACCUCUACCUGUUCCUCAACGGCCGUGGUCGCACCUGUCGGUGGAUUUUUUUUUUGACUGAUCUUCCACAUUCACAGGGUUACACCACGAUCCUGGUCGUUGUGGAUCCCUUUGCCUGGUCUCCCUACGGCCUUACAAACUGCAGAGGCCCUGUUUACACACGUUUUCCGGCACUAUGGUGUGCCUGAGGAUAUAGUGUCUGAUCGGGGUCCCCAGUUCACAUCAAGUGUCUGGAAGGCGUUCAUGGAGCGUCUGGGGCUCUUGGUUAGUCUUACCUCAGGUUUUCACCCCAAGAGUAAUGGGCAGGUGGGGAGAGUUAACCAGGAUGUGGGUAGGUUUCUGCGGUCUUAUUGCCAGGAUCGGCCGGGAGAGUGGGCGAAGUUCGUGCCCUGGGCAGAGAUGGCUCAGAACUCGCUACGUCACUCCUCCACUAACCUUACCCUAAUACACAUUGAAAGGGAGUAUCAGCUGGUUCUGGCUCCUUGGCAUCAGAGCCAGACCGAGGCCCCUGCGGUGGACAAUUGGUUUCGGCACGCUGAGGAGACCUGGGAGGCAGCCCACGUCCACCUUCAGCGUGCCAUAAGGCGCCAGAAAAUUGGCGCAGACCGUCGCCGCAGUGGGUCCCCAUUGUUCGCACCAGAGGACAGGGUCUGGCUCUCGACCCGAAACCUGCCCCUUCGCCUGCUCUGCCGGAAGCUGGGUCCGCGGCCGAUGGUGGCUGGCCCGCUCCAGGAGGCUGAAGUGCGUAAUGUUCCUCCGCCUCUAGACAUCGAGGGGGUCCCGGCGUACUCUGUUCGAUCCAUUUUGGAUUCGAGACGUCGGGCGAGGGGCCUUCAGUACCUCGUGGACUGGGAGGGGUACGGGCCGGAGGAGAGCUGCUGGGUUCCGGUGGAGGACUUGUUAGAUCCUUCCAUGUUAUCAGAAUUCCACCGUCUCCAUCCGGAUCGCCCUGCACCCCGCCUUCCGGGUCAUCCCCGA
ensembl:lncRNA